rnacentral:lncRNA from 1 species
AUUUUUAUUUUUCUGAAUCUACUAACCAUCGAUUUUUAUUGCUAUUGAUUUAUUAUCUCUUUGUCUUUUUAAAUUUUUACUUUUUUCCUUUAGUAUUAGAAGUUGUCAAGUAUAUCUUGAUCUUUUGUUUACUGAGGUAUCUCCAGUUUCUAAAACUGUUUGGGUCAACAAAUACCUGGUGAAUUAAUAAAUGGAUGAAUAUUUGGCAAUCUUGCUUAUUUCAGAAGGAGAUACUGAAAAUCUAAAAUAAUUCCUAUGAGCAUGAGACAACCCUGCCAACAUCUCAGUUUUGCUGUGGAGUGGUCAAAAAGAGAGAGACCUGGGCCACUUCGUUUGAUGACCCUCAAACAUAAGUAUCUGUGCACUUUCGUUAGGGGAGCCUGUUCUCAAAAGUGAUCUCUAAAUCUCUGAUUUGAUGGGAGUGGGGGUAGGUAAUGCUGUCUUCUAAAAUUUAUAGCCUUAGUGAGGACAAUAUGCUAGAGGGUCUUAUUUUUCAUUAUUCAGACUUUUACUUCCAGUGUUUUCAGGAUGGUGACUCGAUCCUAAUGUACUGUACAGAAUGCAUCUCCCUAAAUACAGUGUCUCUGGUUCAGUCUCUUCAGGGGGUAAAACCCCAUUGCCUGCUGGGCUGCAGUGAGGUGGUUUGCACUACGGGUUGGGUGAGAGAGGAGAUCUAGUAAUUACACUGCUUAUUACUUCCACUUUCAACUAAUCCUUACACAGAUCUCAGUACCACUUCUCAACCUAUCCUCAGAGUAGGUUGCAAGACUUAACAUAAAAAAUUUGAGGAUGCUCAGUCAUAUGUGAAUUUCAGAUAGAGUGAUUUUGUUUCAGCAUAAGUAUAUCUCAUGCAAUAUUUAGGAUAUAGUGUUCUAAAAAAUGUUCUUUCAUUUUCAAAUGUAAUUGUGUGUCUUUUUUUUUUUUUUUUUUCUUGAGAUAGAGUCUCACUCUGUUGCCCGGGCUGGAGUGCAAUGGUUCGAUCUCAGCUCACUGUGACUUCCACCUCCCAGGUUCAAGACAUUCUCCUGUCUCAGCCUACUGAGUAGCUGGGAUUAUAGGCAUGAACAACCGUGCCCAGCCGUGUCUUCUCUUUUACCUGGCAACCCUACUAGAGGCUUUCAGAGAUAAAAAUCUGUUGGAUGACGUGCAGCUUACCCUUUCAAAGUUCCUUAAGGACCCUGGGGAAUGCAGCCAUCUGGAAUUUGCUGUCAUGCUGUGAUUUCUGCAGUAGCUUUUGUCAGGCCUCUGAGCCCAAGCUAAGCCAUCAUAUCCCCUGUGACCUGCACGUACACAUCCAAAUGGCCGGUUCCUGCCUUAACUGAUGACAUUCCACCACAAAAGAAGAGAAAAUGGCCUGUUCCUGCCUUAACUGAUGACAUUGUCUUGUGAAAUUCCUUCUCCUGGCUCAUCCUGGCUCAAAAGCUCCCCUACUGAGCACCUUGUGACCCCCACUCUGCUUGCCAGAGAACAACCCCCCUUUGACUGUAAUUUUCCUUUACCUACCCAAAUCCUAUAAAACGGCCCCAACCCAUCUCCCUUCGCUGACUCUCUUUUCAGACUCAGCCUGCCUGCACCCAGGUGAAAUAAACAGCCAUGGUGCUCACACAA